AACAAAAGUUAUGAAAGGUCUAUCUCUGUAGGGAUCCUUCACAUAAGUUGUCAGACACUUAAAUUAACAAUCUGAGCCUGUCAGUGGCAAAAACAAGCACUCAGAGUUGAGAGAAAUUGAUGGUGCCGAAUGCCCCAAGUGGUGACAUUACUGCCGGUGCCAGCUCCCUCAAUACUGGCCCAAUUGUAAAAAUGAUUGUCCCCAUUAGUCAUGUAGGCUUAAGGACAAUGGCGUCCACGUUGAAAAAUACAGAAUUUCCCCCCCAAGAGUUGUGGAACCUAACAAGUGCAUCUUGUAUUAUCUUUUUAAAAUAACCACACUGCAGUUUUGCGCUGUACACACCAAUGUUUACAGUCGAAUAAACAAAUCAACCUUUUUUAGCAUAACCAUAACUACAAUGGUAUAUCAGAGCAAACAUCGUGCUACAAAAAUAAAUAUCAGUGACAAUAAUAUCUGAUAAUUCCCUCCGUAAUGGUAUUUUGAUUUUAGCCCUUACAUGAAUGAACAGGUGCAGCUUUAUUGUCAGACAGGACCUGUUCUAUACUAUUUAUUCAUUCACUGUUAUCACUACAGUGUUACGGAGAUCAGAUUGAAUUAAUCACAAUAUUAUGUACACCUUCUCUGGGUCUGUAGCUAUACCUGUCUGGUAGUUCUGACUAUUUCUAGAGUUUAAAAUCAGGGGGAAAAAGCCUGGAGGCAGCUGAUGCCACUUGACUGCUAGUCAUAUGACACAAUGGACACUAACAAAAUGAAAGGGUAAUAGAACAGUAAAGCAUCAGUUUGUUCCUGUGACUGCAAAAGUCCACCCUCACUUACACUACAUAUUUUACUGUGGCUAGUUUCUUUGACAUGCAGCCGAGUUACAAUUGUCUUUGUUUUUCUAGAUCAAGGGAAUCCUUUGCCUCAGUUUCUGAUCCCAGUCUUGGCACUUCUGGCAUUAACAGGACUCAUCAUAAUCAGCCUGCUCCUCUCCAAAAACCAGGGUUUGAGGCACCCCGGAGCCUUUAAUGGAUAGGACAGACAAGUGUGAAAGGGGGAGAGAGAGAGGGAGUGACA